rnacentral:rRNA from 1 species
GUAGAUCAUCUGCCCUCAGGCCCGGGAUAGCUGCGGGAAACUGCAGGUAAUACCGGAUAACAUCUCCGGAUCAAAGGUGUGAUUCCGCCUGAGGAUGAGUCUGCAUCCUAUUAGCUAGUUGGCAGGGUAACGGCCUACCAAGGCAUUGAUGGGUAGCGGGUGUGAGAGCACGACCCGCGUCAUUGGGACUGAGACACUGCCCAGACACCUACGGGUGGCUGCAGUCGAGAAUCUUCGGCAAUGGGCGCAAGCCUGACCGAGCGACGCCGCGUGUGGGAUGAAGGCCUUCGGGUUGUAAACCACUGUCAGAGGGGAUGAAAUGCAGGUGGGUUCUCCCAUCUGUUUGACAUAGCCUCAGAGGAAGGACGGGCUAAGUUCGUGCCAGCAGCCGCGGUAAGACGAACCGUCCGAACGUUAUUCGGAAUCACUGGGCUUAAAGGGUGCGUAGGCGGCGCGGAAAGUUGGGUGUGAAAUCCCUCGGCUCAACCGAGGAACUGCGCCCAAUACUACCGUGCUC